UACAGAGGUCUCAAGCGUUGUUCGGAUUCAUUGGGCGUAAAGGGCGCGUAGGUGGCCCGGUGAGUCUUUGGUGAAAGCGCGGGGCUCAACCCUGCGUCGGCCAGGGAUACUGCCGCGGCUCGAGCACUGUAGAGGCAGGCGGAAUUCCGGGUGUAGCGGUGGAAUGCGUAGAGAUCCGGAAGAACACCGGUGGCGAAAGCGGCUCACUGGCCCGAUAUUGACGCUCAUGUACGAAAGCGUGGGGAGCAAACAGG
rnacentral:rRNA from 1 species